UGUUAGCGGUCCGGCUCUGCUGUGUACUGCUAGUGCCUAUCUUUCUGUCGGGGACGGGCUCUUGGGCUUCAUUGUCCGGGACUCGGAGUCGACGUGGUUACUUUGAGUAAAUUAGAGUGUUCAAAGCAAGCGUUCGCUGUGAAUACAUUAGCAUGGAAUAACACGAUAGGACUCUGGCUUAUCUUGUUGGUCUGUAAGACCGGAGUAAUGAUUAAGAGGGACAGUCGGGGGCAUUCGUAUUUCAUUGUCAGAGGUGAAAUUCUUGGAUUUAUGAAAGACGAACUUCUGCGAAAGCAUUUGCCAAGGAUGUUUUCAUUAAUCAAGAACGAAAGUUGGGGGCUCGAAGACGAUUAGAUACCGUCGUAGUCUCAACCAUAAACGAUGCCGACUAGGGAUUGGCAGGUGUUUCGUUGAUGACCCUGCCAGCACCUUAUGAGAAAUCAAAGUUUUUGGGUUCCGGGGGGAGUAUGGUCGCAAGGCUGAAACUUAAAGGAAUUGACGGAAGGGCACCACCAGGCGUGGAGCCUGCGGCUUAAUUUGACUCAACACGGGGAAACUUACCAGGUCCAGACACGGGGAGGAUUGACAGAUUGAGAGCUCUUUCUUGAUUCUGUGGGUGGUGGUGCAUGGCCGUUCUUAGUUGGUGGGUUGCCUUGUCAGGUUGAUUCCGGUAACGAACGAGACCUCAGCCUGCUAAAUAGUCACGGCUACUUUUUUGUAGCCGUCCGACUUCUUAGAGGGACUAUUGUCGUUUAGGCAAUGGAAGUGUGAGGCAAUAACAGGUCUGUGAUGCCCU
rnacentral:rRNA from 1 species